CUGGUAGACGUAUCAGUACGAUUAGUGAUUCGGCGGUUAUCCAUUUCAGUUCAUCUGCUCCAACGAAUUUCGAGUUAACAUUGUAGCUGAGUCUCCUUUUACGGGGAAUGAUGCUACGAUGAAUAUUCAAGAUGGUUGAAAAAAGAAAAA